AUUGAACGCUGGCGGCAGGCUUAACACAUGCAAGUCGAGCGGGGGAAGGUAGCUUGCUACCGGACCUAGCGGCGGACGGGUGAGUAAUGCUUAGGAAUCUGCCUAUUAGUGGGGGACAACAUCUCGAAAGGGAUGCUAAUACCGCAUACGUCCUACGGGAGAAAGCAGGGGAUCUUCGGACCUUGCGCUAAUAGAUGAGCCUAAGUCGGAUUAGCUAGUUGGUGGGGUAAAGGCCUACCAAGGCGACGAGCUGUAGCGGGUCUGAGAGGAUGAUCCGCACACUGGGACUGAGACACGGCCCAGACUCCUACGGGAGGCAGCAGUUGGGAAUAUUGGACAAUGGGGGGAACCCUGAUCCAGCCAUGCCGCGUGUGUGAAGAAGGCCUUAUGGUUGUAAGCACUUUAAGCGAGGAGGAGGCUACUCUAGUUAAUACCUAGGGAUAGUGGACGUUACUCGCAGAAUAAGCACCGGCUAACUCUGUGCCAGCAGCCGCAGUAA
rnacentral:rRNA from 1 species